CCUACGGGAGGCAGCAGUAGGGAAUAUUGCUCAAUGGGGGAAACCCUGAAGCAGCAACACCGCGUGGAGGAUGAAGGUUUUCGGAUUGUAAACUCCUUUUGUUAGAGAAGAUAAUGACGGUAUCUAACGAAUAAGCACCGGCUAACCCCGUGCCAGCAGCCGCGGUAAUACGGAGGGUGCAAGCGUUACUCGGAAUCACUGGGCGUAAAGGGCGCGUAGGCGGGAUAGCAAGUCAGAUGUGAAAUCCUAUGGCUUAACCAUAGAACUGCAUUUGAAACUGUUAUUCUAGAGUAUGGGAGAGGUAGGUGGAAUUCUUGGUGUAGGGGUAAAAUCCGUAGAGAUCAAGAGGAAUACUCAUUGCGAAGGCGACCUGCUAGAACAUAACUGACGCUGAUGCGCGAAAGCGUGGGGAGCAAACAGGAUUAGAUACCCGUGUAGUC
rnacentral:rRNA from 1 species